AGCGGACGCUGGCGGCAGGCCUAACACAUGCAAGUCGAACGAACUCUUCGGAGUUAGUGGCGGACGGGUGAGUAACACGUGGGAACGUGCCUUUUGGUUCGAAAUAACUCAGGGAAACUUGUGCUAAUACCGAAUGUGCCCUUCGGGGGAAAGAUUUAUCGCCAUUAGAGCGGCCCGCGUCUGAUUAGCUAGUUGGUGAGGUAACGGCUCACCAAGGCGACGAUCAGUAGCUGGUCUGAGAGGAUGACCAGCCACACUGGGACUGAGACACGGCCCAGACUCCUACGGGAGGCAGCAGUGGGGAAUCUUGCGCAAUGGGCGAAAGCCUGACGCAGCCAUGCCGCGUGAAUGAUGAAGGUCUUAGGAUUGUAAAAUUCUUUCACCGGGGACGAUAAUGACGGUACCCGGAGAAGAAGCCCCGGCUAACUUCGUG
rnacentral:rRNA from 1 species